rnacentral:pre_miRNA from 1 species
AUGCAGAGCAAUCUGUUUUUAAGCAGUAAUAAGUUACUUUAAAAGAAAUUAAAUAUUGGUUUUCUUAAAUCAAGUGUCUUCU